CAUCUCCUCCACUGCUUCUGACUCUGCUCCACAAGGCAAGGCAGCUCCCACACAGCAGGCAUCCAGCCUAACUCCCAGCAGGGAGAGUGUGAGAUGUCUGUGGAUGAGCCCACAGGGACUACAGGAUUCUGUGGGAAGACAUCUGGUAGCUUCUGGAGCAGCUGCAGCAGCCAAGAUACAUGAAGUACAGUGGAGUUCAGAUCCUCAGCUGGCCUCAUCACGGACAGUCCCAUGAGGAGUGGGUGUUUGUUUCCUGCUUCACAGUUAGGGCAGGAACAAGCCCAGACGCAGUGAGUAAGGACAGUGCUUCUGUCUUGACCCAGCUUCCUUGUCCUCCCCCCUCCCC
ensembl:lncRNA